CUUCAGAAUAGAUGGUGAAAAAUAGAGAAAUAGAAAGCAAUGAGUAUAGAUUAAAAUAGAAAGAACUCAGAUUUUUUUUAAUAGAAAAAUUGGAAAGAGUUCAACAUCAUCUCGACUUUCUUUUUGAGUGACAAUUUAUCUUCCGGAGAGUACCUCUGCCCCUCUUUUUAUAAAGGGGACUUGUUUAAGUCAUUAGGUCAUUAGAAGAUUUUGUAUGA
rnacentral:lncRNA from 1 species